UUUUUACAGAUUGAAAGUUUGUGGCAACCCUGUGUUGUCAGGUGAUGGUUAGCAUAUUUUAGAAGCAAAGUAAUUUUUAAUUAGGGUACAUACAUUGGCUUUUUUAGACAUAAUGCUACUGCACACUUAAUAGACUAUAGUAUAAACAUAACUUUUGUGUGUAGUGGGAAACCAAAAAAAUUGUGUGACUCACGUUACUUUAUUGCAGUGGUCUGGAACCAAAGUAUGCCUGUAUAUUAUAUAAACUCUGAAUAGCUGCUGUUCACCGCGCCUCUGUUUUAGGGGCCCAGCCAGGAAUGAGGGUCAGUACCUUGGAGAGCUCCGAGGGGUUUCCAGAUAGCCGAGGCAGGCAGCGGGUUCAGCAUGAGGCAGAAGACCGCUGCUGGACGUGCUAGGCGCCAGCCCCUGUCUGCUGUGGGUACCAAUUGUGAAGUCUGCUGCCUCCUUUUAAGGUGGAGACCCCAGAGCCAAGGUGGUGGCCGGUGGGGGGCAAGGGCUCAGGAUGGAGAUUGGGCAUCUGCCCUCUCCCUGGAUGCAGUCUUCCAGGAGACACCAUUGCCCCGAGGAGUCAGUAUUGGUCCUGUCACUAGGAUGUUUGUGGUGUUUUCUGUCUUAAAGGCAGCUGGUAGCAUUUCGCCCCUAGCAGAGGUGGCUUAGUUAUUUGAGAUAAGAAGUUGAAAGGGUUGAUGCUGCCUGAAGGCGGAACCGAAGAACUGGGACAAACUCAGCGGCAGGUCUGCUAUUUUAGCCUCAUGGAUGUGCAGGUUUCUGCAGUUACUCUCUCCAUCCAGGUCUGUGGGUGGCAGGGACUGUCUGUGAGAUGCAGGGUGAAGCCAGGCUCUCCCAUGGCUGCGAUGGGCUUUUGGCUCUGCACAGUGGAGCCUGGCUAAGUUUGCUAUAAAACCUGACGGACUGCAGUUUGGGGAGAGGUGCCCACAUGCGUCUGGUGUGUGCAUGUACGGAUGGGCGAGGGGUUUGGAUCUUCCUCUUCUGGAACCAGGGGUUAAAAAAAUCAUGUGUCAGUUCAGUCCCCAGCCAGGCGUGGACCCUAGUGAGGUGGUGAUGUCAACCGGUUCUUACCCUCACGACUCCCCCACUUCUGCUUCCUCUCCCGUCUCGGUUUGCCUCCCAUUCACGGUUCCCUGGAUGUUGAUGGUCUGUCCCGUGUGAGCCGGAGGCAGGCAGGGCCCCGUGGUUACCCUAUGCCCGAGAGCCUCAGGGACAGCUCUGACCAUGGGUACUCUCGUUCUCUUCACUGAGAGUGAUUCGUUAGAUAUGUGACCGAGUGUGUUUAUUGGAUGCGUUUCUGAAGCACGUGCGUACAUCGGAAAGAUAAUCUUCAGCCAAACCACGUCUGAACUUUGCAUGUAGGAAGUAUGGUCGCUGUGGGUCCAGGACAGAGACAGAAACUCUUUUUCAUCCUCUGGGCCGGUUCAGUCCAGGGGACGAAGUGCCAGGAGAAGGGGAUAUUUAGGGGCGUCUCAGGACUCCCUGUAAAGCACAGAACCAGCCUUGUCCUGAAUCCCAAACUAAGUUUGUUACCUUGAGACCACCUUGUUUAAUGGAAAGAACCUGCUAUUCGGAGGCACACAGACUUGGCUGUAAAUCCUGAAUGUUCCACGUGCACUGUGUCACGCUAAGGAGAUGACUGAACGUCCCUGGAGCUCAGUUUAUUCUUCAGUAAAAGGGGUAAAAGCAUCGUGUCAUUGUCAUCUCAUCGGUAUACGUGUUAACUCGUGAACGCAGUUUAAGAGCCUGGGUCGGUGCCUGGCCCGGAGCAGGUGCUCCACACACAGCAGAGUCCCUGUGACAACAGCUCACAAGCCUGGAGGACCACGCCAUUUGCUGGGGACUGGCUGUUUGGAUGCACCUGUUUUAAAUGAGGGUGUCACUUGUAUUUUGGGCACUAAUUUCAUCCCACCCUCCUCCCGCCCGAAAAAGAAGGAAGAAGGUGACCUUUACUGAGUGAUUUCGGGAUUUCAGCCGAAGGGUCUGUCAUCGCUACUUAUCAGGCCCGGGAAACCAGCUCUCGUGCAGUCAUUGGAGGUGUGCAGGUUGGGACAUUUAAUUGCGGCCUGGCCUCCUGGAAUAGAAACCUUGCCACCAGGACAACCCUGUUCUGCAUCUGCCUAAGUCAACAAACUCUUGGUUCCCAGCCGGAAGUGGACAGCGACCAGGGCUUUCUCCUGCUGGAAUCUUCUGGUCUUGACGCGCCGCUCAAGCUCCUUUACAAAGGCCCCGAGUGGCGGGAGCCGGUAGCGGGGGCGGGUGGAGGGACCCCCCAGGAGGAGAAUGAGACGCGGCACCUGCUCCAGAGGUGCCUGCGCUCUGGCGGGUGAAAGCAGCAGAGACGAGCCGUCAGGGGAGGGAAGGCGGCGUCCGGCCUGGAGAGGCAGUGCGGCUCAGUGGUCGGCCCGCAGAGCUGCCUGCUGGGGCUUGGCCGCUGAUUCGGAUCCAGACCCACCACGCACAGAGGUGUGUGCCCUGGCCGUGUUACGUAGCCUCUUUGGGCCCAGUUUCUGUCUUUGGAGAAGGGAUGAGCCGCAUACUCAUCUCCAGGUUGCCCCGCAGAUUAAGCUGGAUGGUGUUAGAAGGUGCUGCGGCGGAAGUCUAGCAUGUGCUGCAAGCGCUCGAUGUUCUUACCGGGGUUAUGACUCUGGUUAUCUGGAAACGGCUUCGCUUCUGGGGUCCGUGGUCAGGGAAGACGGCAGGGAGCGCCGAGGGUCUCCUCCACAGUCGUGCCCUCGGCUGCAGCCCCCACUCCCGGAUGCCUCCGGGCCUUUGCCUCUGCUCUCGGCCCCCUUGACCUCCGGACCCAUUCCCACGCAUGCACCAUUCAAGACCCCGGCUGAGCACCGGGACCAUGGUGAAAUCCUUUUGGUCCCCGGGCUCCCCUCACAGGACCGGUCCGCCGGCUCUCGAGCCCCCCAAGCACCGUUCACCUGCGGCCUGAGCCCUUUCCACCCCCCACACCCCCGAGAUUCGGCCUCUCCAGUGUCUCCAUCCUCCGCCAGUGUCAGAGGCAGCGGGCCUGGACGUGCGUUAGGGCUCCCAACUUGUUGGACGUGAGACCUUGAGACCCUGGAGACCCCCCCCACACACACCUGCCGCUCCAUCUUUGCAAAGGGACACGGCCACCCAGUUGGGUGGAGAGAGACUGCACGUCUGGCCCAUCACCGAGUGCCUUCCCCCAACCCCACCCUGCCUCGGUCUCCCUGCCCCGGCGGGAAGUCUGGCGCCCAGAGAGACCAAACCUGCCGUUUCUGAGCGCCCUUCCCCUCCCCCUGGGCUCAGUGACCAGGCGACCUGGGGACGAUUCAUCCUGUCUUCCUUGGGGGUGGGGGAGGGGGCCGGGGGUGGUGAGCACGUCACCGUCUGGGUCCUGUCGGGUCGACUCUUCUUGGGAAAGCGGGGAAAGCGUUGAGCUGGGAACCCCCUCCCCCACCGAAAUGCCCUGGAGCCCCUUCCCCGGAGACCGGGUCGGGCCUGAGAGGCCCUGCUGGCUCCGCCUCUGUGCCUUCCCCGGGCCUGUCCCUGCCCACUCCGUGUUUCCUCAUCACGACACUGUGACAGAAGCCACCUCUCACUGGCCCCUGGCAUUUCACAUUCUCGCCCCAACCGUCCCCAUCUGACAUGUGAGGAAACAGAGGCUCCCGGAGCUGACGGUCUCUGCCCAAGGCCCGAAAGGGUCUUGGCGUCGCGGGGACUCACGCCUGGGCCUGUGGGCCCCCAACGUGGUCAGUCACCAGGACGCCCCCAGGGAGUGACGGGGGUGAGGGGAGCAGAGCAAAGGACACUCCAAGGAGAGCUUUGGGUCAUCGGUCAGAUGACCCAAACCUGGCUGGGUUUCCCGUGGUGACAGCUCCCAAGGCUGUCCACAAGAACGGGGACAUCUAUUGACAGGACAUCGUAAAUCAGCUAUAAUAAAAAAAUUUAAAAAAAUAACUGGGGAGACCCGAGGGGGCACUCUGGGGAAGGGUCGGUGGCGCAGGGGUAGAGUUGGCCCAGGGAACAGCAGUCUGAGGCCCGGAAACCUUCAGGAAUGGAAGCAGAGGGUAGGCCCCAGGGCCUUACCUGGCAGGGAGGACAGAGAGCUGCUGUGUGCCAGGCUCUGGGCCAGGAGCUGGGGACCCGGAUCACAGGAGGGCUGGGUUUCCGCCCGAGGGAGCUCGGUGGAGGGGGAGGCAGGUGCGUGGGUCCGUAUCAGCGGCGUAUGAGAGAUGUGCUACUGAGACAAACGCGUGUAAGAUGCUCUGGGGGAGCAGAGGAGGGAGUGGGCGCGGGCUCCAGAGGAUGUGGGGGGCUAGAGGAGGAUGCCCAUCGGAGCUGAAUCUUGGACGGCGGGCAGUUGUUCACCAGGCAGCCCGAGGGAAGCAGCGUGGAGCAGCCUCUAGGAGCAGGGUCAGCACUAUGGCAAAGGCAGGGAGGUGGGAAACAGAUGGGCUGGGCCCGUGGAAGGAGCCGAGUCCAGGGGGAAGUGCCAGGGUCUCCAUCCCGUGGCUCCUGGACCCCUGGAGGGUGAAGCCAAGGAGUGACUUGGAGAAACACUUAGAAGGGCACCAGAGACAUGGGCGAUGGAAACGUUGGCGGGGGGGCGCCGGGGGGCUGGGAGGUCCUGUUAUGAGGAGGAGACACGGAGAAUCCUGCGAACAGUUAUUGCCUCCUUGAAUCUGGGCAUCUAGAAAGGGGCGGGUAGCCCCAGCCACCCCUGGCUCCCCGUCCUGGGUGCUGACCGAGGAAAAAGUGAGGCAGCGGGGUGUAGGAUCCUGCAGAGGGAGGCAGGAGGACGCAGACCCGACGGAACUUGUUGAGGGCCUGCUCUGUGACAGACACUAGGCUGGUGCUUUGCCUGCCAGGAAGAUGUCUUGU
rnacentral:lncRNA from 1 species